CAGAUUUUUUUGGUUCGAGUUGCAACAUUAUGAACAUUCAAUGAGGUUUGCCUUUUACACACCUUCCAUUUUUAUUUCUUCUUAUAAAUGACAUCUAUUUUAUAUCUUCAGUCUAUUUGAUUUUUUAACAAGAAUAUCUAUAACAUCUAAUAAAGGUAAAACACUCUUUAGGUGUAGCCUAUUUUAUCUACACUCUUUUUAAUUUUUGAUAUUUUUGUCACGUUCAAUAAUUAAUUGGUACAGUUUUUCUUUUCAAAUUUGUUCUUAUGUUCACCAAAGUUUGUUACAGUUUGAGGCAGGAAAGAGGAAAACCCAACAUCUUUUUCAAAGUGCAAGUGACUGUUUAUAUAUGAGUUUAUGACAAUGCCAAUAUGCCAUUCAUUGUUAUCAUAGAAGAAAAAAAACAUGCAAUUUAACAUGCAUUUCUGGCACUAUCGUCAUAUAAGUUACUCCAAUUGAUGCAUCUUCUUAUAAUUUGCACUUUUGAUUAUCAAUCACUAUUUUGUAUCUUUUUCAGUUUGUAGAUGCCCUCAAAUUAACAAUCCAGAAAGCAAAGAGGAAAAAAUACAUCUUCCAAACACAAAAGAAAGGGGGAAAGAAAAAGAAAAUGGUAGGAAAGUAGGGGAUAUGGAGGUCACCCUCUAAGGGUGGCUUCAACGUAGACUAUACUCUCUUGGCAAUCACACCAAUGAUGGAAGGAUAAAGGUUGCGCAAAAGACCGAGAAAGUGGUUUAUUCAUAGUUUUCAUUGCAUGUUACAAAGUUUUAACGAAAGCACAUUCACUUUGUUUUGAAAACAUUGAUUGUUUUCUUCUAAAUUUUUUAGAUUCUUUUUAGUUAAUUUCUACUCUUAAUUUUAUCUCCAACUAAUUUACUUCUUCCCCUUGAUUUUGUGUAGUGACGUUGCGAUGCAAAUUGAAAGGAUGGCCAUUUAUUAUAAUUAAGAAACUCUAAUGGAAAGAGAUAACGAAAAAAAUUUAAGGGGGG
rnacentral:lncRNA from 1 species